rnacentral:rRNA from 1 species
UCCGGUAACUAUAUCAAAGUGGUCACACCUGUUCCCAUCCCGAACACAGUAGUUAAGCACUUUGAGCCGAUGAUAGUGCUGCAAGCGUGAAAGUAGGUAUUGCCGGUU